GAUGAACGCUAGCGGCAGGCCUAAUACAUGCAAGUCGAACGGGAUCUGAGGGUAGCUUGCUACCCGAUUUGAGAGUGGCGCACGGGUGCGUAACGCGUGAGCAACCUACCCAUAUCAGGGGGAUAGCCCGGAGAAAUUCGGAUUAAUACCGCAUAAGAAUGUAUUAACACAUGUUAAAGCAUUUAAAUAUUUAUAGGAUAUGGAUGGGCUCGCGUGACAUUAGCUAGUUGGUGAGGUAACGGCUCACCAAGGCGACGAUGUCUAGGGGCUCUGAGAGGAGAAUCCCCACACUGGAACUGAGACACGGACCAGACUCCUACGGGAGGCAGCAGUAAGGAAUAUUGGUCAAUGGGCGAAAGCCUGAACCAGCCAUGCCGCGUGCAGGAUGACUGCCCUAUGGGUUGUAAACUGCUUUUGUCGAGGGAUAAACCUAUCUACGUGUAGCUAGUUGAACGUACUCGAAGAAUAAGGAUCGGCUAACUCCGUGCCAGCAGCCGCGGUAA
rnacentral:rRNA from 1 species